CUUGGCGUCUUCUUCAGAGAUUGUCUCUUUGUCUGUGAUUUUUUCAUUCAGAGCCUCUUUCCAGUUGCUGCCAUGCUUCUCCAUUUCAGAGUGUUUCAAAGCCCAUGGGUUGGCUCCUUUCUGCAACUGGUUGAGUUUAUUCUGCAGGUCCUUUGCUUGCUGCUCUGCCUGCUGCUGCUCUUCCUUGAAGCGGGCCAGCAGCUCCACCUUCUCCUGUUUCCAGUUCUUUUCACUGAUCUGCAGCUGCUUGGUCAGGUCCAUGACGGCGCUGUAGGAUUCAGCCAGGAGAUGCUGAUGCUCCUCGCGCUCCCUCUUCAGUGCCACCUUCCAGUCUGGUAGCGUCCGCUCCGUGAUGCCUUUGCCUGUUUUUGCCUCCAGCUGGGCGAUGUGGCACUUGAGCUCAGCGCGCUCCAUCUCCCAGGCAGCCUUGGCCUUGGUGAACUGCUGCUGCAGCUCGCCUGCACCACGCCGCUCCUCCCGCAGCUCUGUGCACAGCUCCUUCAGGGUGACCUUCAUGUCCGCCAGCGUCUUGAUGCACUCGUUGGGCGUAUUGGGAGUCCAGGCGUCCCCAGAGCAGGUCCUGUUGUCUGCCUGCUGCUGUGGGGUGAG
rnacentral:lncRNA from 1 species